UCGUCGUUAUUAGGAAAUGAUCGUAUAGGACGUACACACGGAGCCGUUAGGCCCCCCGGAGCGUUUUGUCCGCAUAUCUACCCACCUUGUGAUCCAUUA